UUGGAGGGCAAGUCUGGUGCCAGCAGCCGCGGUAAUUCCAGCUCCAAUAGCGUAUAUUAAAGUUGUUGCAGUUAAAAAGCUCGUAGUUGAAUUUCGGGGUUAGUAGGUUGGUCAUGCCUCUGGUAUGUACUGGUCUCACUGAUUCCUCCUUCCUGAUGAGCCGUAAUGCCAUUAAUUUGGUGUUGCGGGGAAUUUGGACUGUUACUUUGAAAAAAUUAGAGUGUUUAAAGCAAGCUAACGCUUGAAUACAUUAGCAUGGAAUAAUGAAAUAGGACGUUCGAUCCUAUUUUGUUGGUUUCUAGGAUUGACGUAAUGAUUAAUAGGGAUAGUUGGGGGCAUUAGUAUUCAAUUGUCAGAGGUGAAAUUCUUGGAUUUAUUGAAGACUAACUACUGCGAAAGCAUUUGCCAAGGAUGUUUUCAUUAAUCAAGAACGAAAGUUAGGGGAUCGAAGACGAUCAGAUACCGUCAUAGUCUUAACCAUAAACUAUGCCGACUAGGGAUCGGAUGAUGUUAAUUUUUUAAUGACUCAUUCGGCGCCUUACGGGAAAC
rnacentral:rRNA from 1 species